rnacentral:rRNA from 1 species
AUUGAACGCUGGCGGCAUGCCUUACACAUGCAAGUCGAACGGCAGCACGGGAGCAAUCCUGGUGGCGAGUGGCGAACGGGUGAGUAACGCAUCGGAACGUGCCCAGUCGUGGGGGAUAGCCCGGCGAAAGCCGGAUUAAUACCGCAUACGACCUAUGGGUGAAAGCGGGGGACCGAAAGGCCUCGCGCGAUUGGAGCGGCCGAUGUCAGAUUAGGUAGUUGGUGGGGUAAAGGCCCACCAAGCCGACGAUCUGUAGCUGGUCUGAGAGGACGAACAGCCACACUGGGACUGAGACACGGCCCAGACUCCUACGGGAGGCAGCAGUGGGGAAUUUUGGACAAUGGGCGCAAGCCUGAUCCAGCCAUGCCGCGUGCGGGAAGAAGGCCUUCGGGUUGUAAACCGCUUUUGUCGGGGAAGAAAUGCUCCGGGAUAAUACCCUGGGGAGAUGACGGAACCCGAAGAAUAAGCACCGGCUAACUACGUGCCAGCCGCCGCGGUAAAAC